UACGUAGGGUGCAAGCGUUAAUCGGAAUUACUGGGCGUAAAGCGUGCGCAGGCGGCUAUGCAAGACAGAUGUGAAAUCCCCGGGCUCAACCUGGGAACUGCAUUUGUGACUGCAUAACUAGAGUACGGUAGAGGGGGAUGGAAUUCCGCGUGUAGCAGUGAAAUGCGUAGAUAUGCGGAGGAACACCGAUGGCGAAGGCAAUCCCCUGGACCUGUACUGACGCUCAUGCACGAAAGCGUGGGGAGCAAACAGG
rnacentral:rRNA from 1 species